ensembl:lncRNA
AGUGACUUGUGGUUUCAAAUACAGGAGAAAUGAAGUUUCCCAGCAUGCCUUGGCUCUGGAGGUGUAUGAGGGGGUGGAGUCUGUCCUGCUGACUUGCAAGGACACUUCUGUACCUUUUGACCCCACUCUGGUGUGGACUCGCCAUGACCUCGAUCCUCCAAUCGUCCAUGAGCGUAAUGAUGCAGGAGAUGAACUGAGAGACCAAAACCAGCGUUACAGGAGACGAACGUCCAUGAAGACGGACUCUCUGAGGACCGGAGACUUCAGCCUCACUCUGAGGAACCCCAUCACCUCUGACAGCGGCACCUACACCUGCACCAUCACUGCAUUUGGAAAUGAACGGACACUGACAGCAGUAGAGCUGCAGGUCAAAGUGUCCCACCAAGUCUUCAGUGUGGAGGUGUACGAGGGGGCGGAGUCAGUCCUGCUGCCCUGUCACAUCCCGUUUGUGUCUGGACCCUCCACAGUGGUGUGGAGCCGCUACGACCUCAAUCCUCCAACCGUCCACCAGCGUCAGCAGGAAGAGGACGAGCUGACAGAUCAAAACCAGCGUUACAGAGACCGAACAUCCAUGAAGACUGACGCUCUGCAGACUGGAGACUUCAGCCUCACUCUGAGGAAACCCCACAUCUUUGACAGCAGCAACUACACCUGCACCAUCAGAGUGACGGGAGAAGAACCCAGACUGACAGAUGUUCAGCUGCAGGUCAAAG